GGGUGAGUAAUGCUUAGGAAUCUGCCUAUUAGUGGGGGACAACAUUCCGAAAGGAAUGCUAAUACCGCAUACGUCCUACGGGAGAAAGCAGGGGACCUUCGGGCCUUGCGCUAAUAGAUGAGCCUAAGUCGGAUUAGCUAGUUGGUGGGGUAAAGGCCUACCAAGGCGACGAUCUGUAGCGGGUCUGAGAGGAUGAUCCGCCACACUGGGACUGAGACACGGCCCAGACUCCUACGGGAGGCAGCAGUGGGGAAUAUUGGACAAUGGGGGGAACCCUGAUCCAGCCAUGCCGCGUGUGUGAAGAAGGCCUUUUGGUUGUAAAGCACUUUAAGCGAGGAGGAGGCUACUUAGAUUAAUACUCUAGGAUAGUGGACGUUACUCGCAGAAUAAGCACCGGCUAACUCUGUGCCAGCAGCCGCGGUAAUACAGAGGGUGCGAGCGUUAAUCGGAUUUACUGGGCGUAAAGCGUGCGUAGGCGGCUGAUUAAGUCGGAUGUGAAAUCCCUGAGCUUAACUUAGGAAUUGCAUUCGAUACUGGUCAGCUAGAGUAUGGGAGAGGAUGGUAGAAUUCCAGGUGUAGCGGUGAAAUGCGUAGAGAUCUGGAGGAAUACCGAUGGCGAAGGCAGCCAUCUGGCCUAAUACUGACGCUGAGGUACGAAAGCAUGGGGAGCAAACAGGAUUAGAUACCCUGGGUAGUCCAUGCCGUAAACGAUGUCUACUAGCCGUUGGGGCCUUUGAGGCUUUAGUGGCGCAGCUAACGCGAUAAGUAGACCGCCUGGGGAGUACGGUCGCAAGACUAAAACUCAAAUGAAUUGACGGGGGCCCGCACAAGCGGUGGAGCAUGUGGUUUAAUUCGAUGCAACGCGAAGAACCUUACCUGGUCUUGACAUAGUAAGAACUUUCCAGAGAUGGAUUGGUGCCUUCGGGAACUUACAUACAGGUGCUGCAUGGCUGUCGUCAGCUCGUGUCGUGAGAUGUUGGGUUAAGUCCCGCAACGAGCGCAACCCUUUUCCUUAUUUGCCAGCGGGUUAAGCCGGGAACUUUAAGGAUACUGCCAGUGACAAACUGGAGGAAGGCGGGGACGACGUCAAGUCAUCAUGGCCCUUACGACCAGGGCUACACACGUGCUACAAUGGUCGGUACAAAGGGUUGCUACCUAGCGAUAGGAUGCUAAUCUCAAAAAGCCGAUCGUAGUCCGGAUUGGAGUCUGCAACUCGGACUCC
rnacentral:rRNA from 1 species